rnacentral:rRNA from 1 species
GACGAACGCUGGCGGCGUGCCUAAUACAUGCAAGUCGAACGCUGAAGGAGGAGCUUGCUUCUCCGGAUGAGUUGCGAACGGGUGAGUAACGCGUAGGUAACCUGCCUGGUAGCGGGGGAUAACUAUUGGAAACGAUAGCUAAUACCGCAUAAGAGUAGAUGUUGCAUGACAUUUGCUUAAAAGGUGCAAUUGCAUCACUACCAGAUGGACCUGCGUUGUAUUAGCUAGUUGGUGGGGUAACGGCUUACCAAGGCGACGAUACAUAGCCGACCUGAGAGGGGGAUCGGCCACACUGGGACUGAGACACGGCCCAGACUCCUACGGGAGGCAGCAGUAGGGAAUCUUCGGCAAUGGACGGAAGUCUGACCGAGCAACGCCGCGUGAGUGAAGAAGGUUUUCGGAUCGUAAAGCUCUGUUGUAAGAGAAGAACGAGUGUGAGAGUGGAAAGUUCACACUGUGACGGUAGCUUACCAGAAAGGGACGGCUAACUACGUG